UUUAAAUCGAUAAUUUUUUUUUAUUAAGGAGCCACUUUUAAAUUUUGCACAGAGUCUCCUAAAACUCAGAGACGCCCCUGUUUGCAUGUCUCCAUGAAGAAAGGUGUUUAUUAGUUCGAUGGUCAUUCUACUAUUUGGAUUAUGUAAGGGCUGGAGUGGUUAUUUCUUCGAUGUGCAACCUAUAGUGACAUCUUGGUAGUAUGUAAAAUUAUGAAAAACAUAUUGAGCAUGUGUUUACGUGAAAAUUUGGUAAAUAACCGCUAGUUUAAGUAUUUAAACUCGCGAGAUCAACUAGUAAAUCUCAGGACAAUUUUGUGUUUU
rnacentral:lncRNA from 1 species